rnacentral:rRNA from 1 species
GUGCAAAGGUAGCAUAAUCAUUAGGUUUUUAAUUGGAAUCUUGUAUGAAUGAUUGGACAAAAGAAGUACUGUCUUUGUAUUGAAACUUGAAUUUAACUUUUAAGUGAAAAGGCUUAAAUAUACUAAAGGGACGAUAAGACCCUAUAAAACUUUACAUUUAUGUUAAAUUUUAUGGAAUUUGAAAUUAUAAUUAUUAAGUUUAAUUUUUUGUUAUGUUGGGGAGACAAAAGCUAUAAUUAUUUAUAACUGCUUUUAAAGGAAACAAAAAUAAAUGGGGAGUUAAAGAUCCUUUAUUGAGAUUGUAAGAUUAAGUUACUUUAGGGAUAACAGCGUUAUUUUUUUUGAGAGUUCAUAUUGAAAAAAAAGAUUGCGACCUCGAUGUUGAAUUAAAAUAUCUUU